GGUAGCAUAAUCACUUGCCCAUUAAUUGUGGGCUAGAAUGAAAGGACUAACGAAAUAAAAACUGUCUCUAUAAGUGACAUAAAAAUUGAUCUCUAACUGAAGAUUGUUAGAUAUCGUCGAAGGACAAGAAGACCCUAUAGAGCUUUAUUUUAAUAAAUAACUAUAAUUUAUAUAAAUUCGGUUGGGGCGACCAGGGAAAUUAAAUAUCAUCCCUUAAUAGCAGAUAACUCAAUCACACACUUGACCCUUUACCAAAGAUCAUCAAAACAAGCUACCUUAGGGAUAACAGGCUAAUCCCACUAAAGAGUCCUUAUCAAUAGUGGGGUUUGGCAC
rnacentral:rRNA from 1 species